AUGGUUGUUGACAGAAGGUUUGUUGGAAUUGUAAGGGAUGGUGAGUCAGCGAUUGAUUCGAUUGUUGGUGAGCUUGCAGAUGGAGAUUCACGUGUGUGUCUGAAAAUGAAAAAGAAAUGGUUUAUUGUACAGCAGCGUCGGAGAUGGAAGCUAAUGUUUUACAGUUGGGGAGGUCCGGUUGAAGGUUCACCGGAAAUUGAAGAAGAGAUAAAGAGGGGGAGAAUGAAGUUUGUGGAUGGAGGUUAUGUGGGUGAAGAAGAAUUGUGA